rnacentral:rRNA from 1 species
UACAGAGGUCUCAAGCGUUUGUUCGGAUUCAUUGGGCGUAAAGGGUGCGUAGGUGGCGCGGUAAGUCGGGGUGUGAAAUCUCGGAGCUUAACUUCCGAAAUUGCAUUCGAUACUGCCGUGCUCGAGGACUGGAGAGGAGACUGGAAUUCAUGGUGUAGCAGUGAAAUGCGUAGAGAUCAUGAGGAAGACCAGUGGCGAAGGCGGGUCUCUGGACAGUUCCUGACACUGAGGCACGAAGGCCAGGGGAGCAAACGGG